AAUGAACGCUGGCGGCAGGCCUAACACAUGCAAGUCGAACGGGUGCCUUCGGGUGCUAGUGGCGGACGGGUGAGUAACGCGUGGGAACAUACCCUUUGGUACGGAAUAGCCUCGGGAAACUGAGAGUAAUACCGUAUGUGCCCUUCGGGGGAAAGAUUUAUCGCCAAAGGAUUGGCCCGCGUUGGAUUAGGUAGUUGGUGGGGUAAUGGCCUACCAAGCCGACGAUCCAUAGCUGGUUUGAGAGGAUGAUCAGCCACACUGGGACUGAGACACGGCCCAGACUCCUACGGGUGGCUG
rnacentral:rRNA from 1 species